rnacentral:lncRNA from 1 species
UUUCUUUUUAGCCGUUCUUGGCUGCCGCCCUGCGCAGCUUUAGAAAGGAGGAGAAUUCGAUUUAGAAAGAGGGAGAUGAGCGUUGGUUUUUCCAAGGAAAGAAUGGGAAUGGGAGUUAGUGACAAAGUCUAUUUCCCUCGGUAAGGAACCAUCAAAAGAUGGCAAAAAAGACUCCUUUUAAAGAGAGGUGGCCUCGUUUUUGACAUGCCAUUUACAGGGAAAUGCUAUUUGCUAAUUUUUCCAGAGGAAGGGGAACGAUCGGCGGUAAAAGUAAUUUUUUAGAUUAUCCCAACUUAUUGGCAAAAUCCAAAAAUAUUUUUACUUGCACUAAUUAAAGAAAAUUAAACUCUUUUAAUUUUCUUUAGAAAAUUACAUUUCAAAAAAUUUAUUUAGAUAGCCCAUUAUUUUAUUUUAUUUAUUAUUUGUAAAUUUUUUUUAGCAAAAAUAAUUUUUUGUGUUAUCCCAAUACUUUGGUGAA